AACGCAACUUGCGCCAUGUAUAUGGCAUGUCUGUUUGAGUGCCGCAAAGGACUUGUAUUGCGUAUUGGCGGUUGUCUGUGCAUCUGUGCGGACUCUGUCUAAAUGCAGCCAGCAAUGGUCGUGGAUGUGACAGUCCGAGUGCUAAGCAUUCUUGGUCUGAUCGCAACUGCGGCCGAGGGUGGGCUAGUGGUGGAUGAUUGUGUGCAAACCAUAUCGUCACUCCCUAUCCCCUCCCCUACUUACUAUUGGCCUCAAAUCAGGCAGGAUCACCCGCUGAACUUAA
rnacentral:misc_RNA from 1 species